UUUUUGUUGCGUUGCUUAGCAACAAGCUAGCGGCACGCCAGACGCGCGUUUAUACGUCAUGUGCGUCAUGCGCCAGACAAGCUGCAGGAGUGAGCGAGGCCGACUGCGGAUGAGAAACUCGCGUGCUCGGCGACCCGUCUUUUUUGGAUGUAGCCCGUUUUUUGGGCUCCCGGCGUUCUUUGCAUUGUGUUCCGUCUGCAUUUCGGCACAGCACCGCUGCGCUACUGGACUACAACAAGCUGAUGGCAUCCGGUGGAGCUUUGUAUGGCAACGACUGCUACUUACCUGGUGCCACAACUUUGGAUGAAUGCAGAAGCCCGGAACAAGCAUUUAUAUAGAGCAAAAUAAACAUUUCA